AAGAACAGGGAGGCAGUGAGGGGUGUCUUCCAGUCAUCCUCACACACCAGAUUCCACUGCAAACAAGACAGCAUGAAGUAUCAGAAAACACAAACUUGGCACAGCUGACCAUCUAAAAAGUUGGGAGUUAUUUUCUCCACAGCAAACUGGAGGUUCCACCAAGAUGUUUGGAAAGAGUAGAAGAACAGAUUAUUCUUAAAGAUGACUGUAUCACCCAGCCAGCUUCCUGUAAGGCCUACAGGAGAGGGCGACACCAUGACCUGCCCUGUGCACUUCUGCAAACUGGAGCCUGCUGGCAGGAAAGACCACCCCAAACAACACAUCCCAGCCCUUGGUUCCAGAAAACAGCUACAUGGCAGCCUGGGAGCACAGGCCACUUGUCUCUGCCUCCUCACCUCCCCAAGACAGCGGCUCUCGCACC